AUUCUUUUAGUAUAAAAAGUAUAAUUGAUUUCCAAUCAAAAGGUUAAAAUUUAAAAGAAUA
rnacentral:tRNA from 1 species